rnacentral:rRNA from 1 species
GUACACAGCCAUGUCACCCUGCAGCCCAAGACUGAAGCUAAGCAGGGCUGAGCCUGGUCAGUACCUGAAUGGGAGACCACAUGGAAAAACUAGAUUGGUGUUAGAU